CUCUUCGUAAAUGUUCCUACCCAGGAAAGACGUUAUUUCACCCACCACGGAGCCUUCUGGAAACAUUCCUCUGAAGCAGCAGAAGCGGAAGGAAAUAAAGAGAGUGAAGAAAGGAAGUUGCUGCUUGCUGUGUGAAAAAGAGAUGCGCUGGAAGUGGGAAGAGCACCUGCAGAGGAGUGGCCACUGGUCAGGGGUCCUGCCAGUCACCCACUCUCCCCGGUGGUCAACAGGGAACCUUUCUGGGAGUUCCCAGGUGUGUGGAUCCAGCUUCUAGCCGCAGCGUCUGCCUAAGCAACUCAUUCCGCUUUUAAGGAGACAUUGCCUUUGUGGUGCCUCUAAAUUCUAGCGCAAGAAUCACAACAGCAACGAAGACCCUUUGAACAAACGGUGCUUGGACACAGACUGCACCCCUGCCAUUGUGGCACCACACCCCAGAGACAAAUCUGAAACCAUCCCUGACCCCAAUGAGGGAAGCUGCAAGGACGAAGCAACACUGUAAGUGUUAUCGAUUCCUUCAACAUUCUUGUAAGUGGCAGCUAAGAUUCGGACAAAGCGCCAGGGACCAGAGGGCGUGGCCAUGGGGCCAGAGGGCGUGGUCAUGGGGCCAGAGGGCGUGCCCCUAGGAGGCAGCUAAUCUAGGACUCCAGGGGGACAGAGGCCUUAUCAGGGGUGAGGCACAGAGAGAGAGAGGGAAGGGAGAGCUGGAAAGGGAGAUGGAGACAGACAAUGGGUAAAGGGGGCUGAGGAAAAAAUUAGAGAACAGAGUCCACCCAAAAAGGCCAGCUGCCCUGGCCCCUGGAGCAGCGGCAGCAGCCAGGUGAGAAAGGCAGUGAUGCCCGCGCUACCCAGCCCGGCGCUGCCCAGAGAGCCCCAGAAACCUCCCCUCUGGGCCUCACCCUCAGCCUCCCGGAGGUCCGUUACAGAGAACUGAAAGGGCAAUUAUUCAAUCCUAUCAUCACAGGCUCCACACAAAUUAUGCUUCUGUAGAGUCAAGAGGUAGCCCCUAACAGGCCAGCAUGGCACAACUAUCCCACACAUUGCUGAGUUUAACCUCAAAAACGAAAUUGUGGUCACUCCAGCAAUUCACCUGGGCUACAAGCACCAUGAUCUAGAAGAUUUAUACAGGGCCAUGGGGCAACGGGGACAGCACACCUGUUUCUGGACAUUUCUCAGCUCACGUGAGAACUUACUGCAACCUGAGGCACAGAACACAAAGAACAGUCCUCAGGAGAGCCCAGCAGGGGCUUGCCCAGUUGAUUAAUAACUGUCACUUACACAGGGCAACGUGAUGGCCAACAAGAGGGCUGCCCGAGAGAAACUCCACUAAGGGUUAAGAGUUCCCUGAUGACCCGGGUAAGGACGAGAUCUCGGCUCAGCAAACACUGUCCCACGGUGCGUUUCAUCUGACAGGGUACAAGUGCUUCUGAUCACCAUGUCACUGGAGCUCAGGAAGGACCCCUACAGCCAGUGCACCUGCCUCCUGUGAGGGAGGAGGGACAGGGGAGCUGGGUACAUUGUUCAGGAACACACAGAGAUAUUCACCAACCACACUCUCGGACCACGCUUCAAUUACUGAAUAAGACUUUCAAAAACAGCCAGGCAUUCAACAAACAUAUGAAAAAAUGUUCAACAUCUCUAAUCAUCAGGGAAAUGCAAAUCAAAACCACAAUGAGAU